AAACCCUCAAAUACUCGAAUCUAGCCACUCUUCUUGUCAUCACUGAGCUGUACCUCUCAAAAUCCUGGAAGUAUUUCUUUAUGCACCAAGUGACAGACCUCUGUGGAGCCUGGCCACAGCUCUGCCAGGCUCUUUUCCAAGCAGUUUGCCCUCAAUGUCACGUGGAGCAGCAUCAGUGAUGCAGAGACACCGGUAUUGAUCCGAAGUGGAAUAACCUCCUCAGCAAGAGUUUGUAUGUAGGUUAGGCGCUACCACAGGGCCAUCCUUUU